AACGCGCAGCAAAACAAAGCCGGCCGCGUCUCCUGCUUUGAGCUUUUGCCCUGCAUUAUCUAAUCGAACAAAAGAGAGAGAGAUGCUCCCACCUUCAAAGAUUCUGGGCGAGGAAGAGUGCUGUUGGUGAGAGCGUGACAAAGCAAGAGAUUGCCGAGUUCUGGAGGCAAAAACUUGACGAGGAACAGGAUCACCUGCUUUAUGCUAUCAAGGCUGCAGCACGUCUCAGGGCUCACAAUCUCUCGGAGGGUGAUUACAAGCUCUUUGAAGAAUCGCUGAAGGAUGAUGAUGACAUUAAAGAGAACGUCAAAAGCACAGAAUAUGGGAAGAACAAUGAAAUGCGUUUGGGAAUAAACGACUGGUGGACAAAGAGCAAGUAUGCACACUUGAACCAACCUGCCAUUGAGUCGCUGGAUCCUCCCAAAAAGGCAGCCUUUUAGUUAUACCACCAAGAAUCUCUCUUUUAAUCCCACAGUUCCCCUGUGUUCAAGUCCUCGUUGAAUUGGUUUCAGUUCAUUGAAUUGCCUGACUUUCUUGAAGUUGCUUUUCUUUUUCUUUCUGUUAUAAGAGAGAUGUUUGAACCUCUGACCUCUUCUGAAGAGGCUAACAUAGUUGGAUUACAAUUUUAUUGGCA